AUCUUGCGCAAUGGGCGAAAGCCUGACGCAGCGACGCCGCGUGGGGGAAGAAGGCCCUCGGGUUGUAAACCCCUUUCGGCAGGGAAGAAGCCGCAAGGUGACGGUACCUGCAGAAGAAGCCCCGGCUAACUACGUGCCAGCAGCCGCGGUAAGACGGAGGGGGCGAGCGUUGUCCGGAUUUAUUGGGCGCAAAGCGCGCGUAGGCGGCUCGGAAAGUCGGAUGUGAAAAUCCGGGGCUCAACCCCGGACCUGCAUCCGAUACUCCCGAGCUGGAGGCAGGCAGGGGAGAUCGGAAUUCCUGGUGUAGCGGUGAAAUGCGCAGAUAUCAGGAGGAACACCGGUGGCGAAGGUGGAUCUCUGGGCCUGUCCUGACGCUCAGGCGCGAAAGCUAGGGGAGCAAAC
rnacentral:rRNA from 1 species